rfam:Peptoclostridium acidaminophilum DSM 3953 plasmid EAL2_808p, complete sequence.
AAGAGCCGUAUGAAGGGAGACUUUCACGUACGGUUCUGUGAGAAGCUCGGGGUGAAACUCCCCUUGCUUACUCGAC